rnacentral:rRNA from 1 species
GACGUAGGGCGCGAGCGUUGUCCGGAUUUAUUGGGCGUAAAGAGCUCGUAGGCGGUUUGUCGCGUCUGCUGUGAAAACUGGAGGCUCAACCUCCAGCCUGCAGUGGGUACGGGCAGACUAGAGUGCGGUAGGGGAGAUUGGAAUUCCUGGUGUAGCGGUGGAAUGCGCAGAUAUCAGGAGGAACACCGAUGGCGAAGGCAGAUCUCUGGGCCGAUACUGACGCUGAGGCGCGAAAGCGUGGGGAGCAAACAGG